AUUGAACGCUGGCGGCAGGCCUAACACAUGCAAGUCGAACGGUAACAGGAAACAGCUUGCUGUUUCGCUGACGAGUGGCGGACGGGGGAGUAAUGUCUGGGAAACUGCCUGAUGGAGGGGGAUAUCUACUGGAAACGGUAGCUAAUAACGCAUAACGUCGCAAGACCAAAGAGGGGGAUCUUCGGGCCUCUUGCCCUCGGGUGGGCCCAGAUGGGAUUAGCUAGUAGGUGGGGGAACGGCUCACCUAGGCGACGAUCCGUAGCUGGUCUGAGAGGAUGAACAGCCACACUGGAACUGAGACACGGUCCAGACUCCUACGGGAGGCAGCAGUGGGGAAUAUUGCACAAUGGGCGCAAGCCUGAUGCAGCCAUGCCGCGUGUAUGAAGAAGGCCUUCGGGUUGUAAAGUACUUUCAGCGGGGAUGAAGGGAGUAAAGUUAAUACCUUUGCUCAUUGACGUUACCCGCAGAAGAAGCACCGGCUAACUCCGUG
rnacentral:rRNA from 1 species